rnacentral:rRNA from 1 species
UCUACGGGGGGCAGCAGUGAGGAAUAUUGGUCAAUGGACGAGAGUCUGAACCAGCCAAGUAGCGUGAAGGAUGACUGCCCUAUGGGUUGUAAACCUCUUUUGUCGGGGAGCAAAGCGAGUCACGUGUGACUCAUUGAGAGUACCCGAAGAAAAAGCAUCGGCUAACUCCGUGGCAGCAGCCGCGGUAAUACGGAGGAUGCGAGCGUUAUCCGGAUUUAUUGGGUUUAAAGGGUGCGCAGGCUGAGGUGCAAGUCAGCGGUCAAAUUGCGGGGCUCAACCCCGUACUGCCGUUGAAACUGCAUCCCUUGAGUGCGCGAGAGGUAUGCGGAAUGCGUGGUGUAGCGGUGAAAUGCAUAGAUAUCACGCAGAACUCUGAUUGCGAAGGCAGCAUACCGGCGCGCAACUGACGCUCAUGCACGAAAGCGUGGGUAUCGAACAGGAUUAGAUACCCGAGUAGUC